GUUUUUUAACUUCCCGUUCAUGUUUUUAAUAAAACAGAAAAUUACCGUUUGGCGGUCACGCGCGAACACUUUAGCUGCGAACAGGCAUAUUCUGGGAAGGAAACUUUGUGUAAACGUAUUACAUAGCUCCCAGAAGAAUAAAAUCACCAUUUUUUCAAGUAAAACGGUCUUUUUUAUAGAGAGUUUUUCCACUAAACUCGGACAGAUUUUAAAAAAAAACAAAAAAAAUUGGAGGUCGGGGACUUUUAUCAGGUCGGGCGGGGACGCUAAACAAGUAAUUUUUUUAUGUGGCCUUGAGGCUAGUUUCCUGUUCCACUCAGGAAAAUUAUCCGUGGAUUGGAACGGACAAGAGAAUUUUUCUUUAUCCUGUGAGUUCUGGGUUGGAACUAAUGACUUUAACACAAAGAAAAAUUUUCUUGUCUUUUCUACUCCACGGAUAAUUUUCCUGAGUGGAGUCUAAUCUUAAGACUGAACUGCGCAUUCCAUAUGAACAACCAAUCAAAUUCCUCCGUGAAACGGCCUUAGAAAAUCCAGGGGGAGGGGUUAAAAAGACUGCAGAAAUCCGAGGGGUGGGUGAUUAGAGACCAAAAUCGAGUGGAUGUUCUGCAAUUAAAGCCAUUUCCCACAAUUCCAGGGGGUCACAAUUUAGCUGGUAAAAAGAUGUCAUCGACUUCCCUUCCCCCCCCUCCGUGCGGAAAAUAAAUGCAGUCUGCCCA